rnacentral:rRNA from 1 species
UACAGGAGGGGGCAAGCGUUGUUCGGAAUUACUGGGCGUAAAGGGCGCGUAGGCGGCCUGUUAAGUCGGACGUGAAAUCCCUCGGCUCAACCGGGGAACUGCGUCCGAUACUGGCGGGCUUGAAUUCGGGAGAGGGAUGUGGAAUUCCAGGUGUAGCGGUGAAAUGCGUAGAUAUCUGGAGGAACACCGGUGGCGAAGGCGGCAUCCUGGACCGACAUUGACGCUGAGGCGCGAAAGCCAGGGGAGCAAAC